CGUUACCAACAACAUAUGGAAAAGUGCAUACCUUUCUGAGCAGGCAGAUUUACAAGGGUAGUGAAAUAUGCCAAAGUACCUGAGCUGGAUCACCCUCCCUUUCCUUUCUCCGCCUUUCCAUCUCUUUCUCCAGCAGCAACACAAGAGCCCUAUGCUGUAGCCACAGACCACCUGCUGACGGGACAUCUCGGAUGCUCUCCAACAGUUUACUUUUACAGUCUGUGCAGUAAAAGCUGACAUCAGCAUUGCUUAGUAAGGCUAGCUGUACAGUUCAUCUCCAGAUCCCAGGUUCCUCCAUUAAAACCUACCCCCUGCCCCAGGGAACAGCCUGGCAAGCUCUUCUGACCCAACAGCACUGGCAG
rnacentral:lncRNA from 1 species